rnacentral:rRNA from 1 species
CCUACGGGUGACAGCAGUGAGGAAUAUUGGUCAAUGGCCGGAAGGCUGAACCAGCCAUGCCGCGUGAAGGUCAGUGCCCUAUGGGCGUUAAACUUCUGUUGUGCGGGAGCAAUAAUGGUCACGUGUGGCCAGACGAGAGUACCGUACGAAUAAGCAUCGGCUAACUCCGUGCCAGCAGCCGCGGUAAUACGGGGGAGGCAAGCGUGAGCCGGAUGAAGUGGGUUUAAGGGGUGCGUAGGCUGUGAGGGAAGGCAGCGGUGAAAUGCCCCGGCUCAACGGGGUGAAGUGCCAUUGAUACUGCCUUGCUGGACUGCGGAUGCCGUGGGCGGACU